ensembl:lncRNA
UUUAAAAACAAUUUCUUUAAUUCACAAUUACUCAGAUUCAAAGUAAAAUAUUACAGAAUACAAAAUUAAAAUAGAUAAAUGAUGUUAUGCAAAUUAAGCAGCUCAACACAGAGAUACUAAAAAAAAGAGUUACAGUGACAUCACACAAAGACAUUAAAACAUUCUUACCACUUAUAUUUCUUUAAUUGUCUAGACUGACACUGUGAAAUACACUGUGUGUACUGCAUAGUCUAUGUUAAGGGUAUCUAUUUAGAGUUUAAUGCUAACUUGAUGGCUAACUAUUAUACUGCAUUACACAAAUGUUUCAAUGAUAAAACACUAAAAUGGGCUUUCCCCUUCAAACAAUAUUAUGAAUAUACCUACUUCCAUAUAUUGGUCAUUUCAAGUUUAUUACAUUUUACUCAAAACGCUCAAUGUGCUUCAAAAAGAGGAAGAAGAAAAGUCCUGAGAUUAUACAGUGCAUGACAGUUACUUAACAAACAUAUAAAAAAGCUAUAGGAUCGGUUUCAGAUCAAACCAAAUUUAAUAUUAGAUAAUCAGAGUAAAUACGAAAAAUUUUAAGUCUUUAAAUUAAGUCUUUAUUUAUUAAGGGAAAUAAAGUCACCCAAGCCUACUAUGUUAAAUUAAAAAUUUCUUGUUAAAUUAAAAAUUAACUGUAACUGCUGGUUACUCCCAGUUAUCAUCUGUCUGACAAAGUGAAGUAGAUUAAAAGAUCCCAAAAGGCAACGCAUCAUGCCACGAUCUAAAGAAACAUCUGAGAAACAAAGUCACUAUUAGUCUCUAAAGGACUGCAAAGCCAUUUCUAAGGCUUUGGGAGUACAGCGAGCCAUGGUAAGAGACAAUAUCCACAAAUGGAGAAAACUUGGAACAGUGGUGAACUUUCCCACAAGUGGCCAGCUGACCAAAGAGCUACUCCAAGAGCACAUCACCAACUCAUCUCAUUGUCACAAAGGAACCAAGAACAGCAUCUAAAGAUCCACAGGCCUCACUUGUCUCACUUAAAGUCAGAGCUCAUGAUUCAACAAUAAGAAACACACUGGGCAAACAUGGGAGAUUUCCAAUGAGAAAACCACUGCUGACCAGAAAGAACAUGAAGUCUCACAGACUUUUGGGAAACUAUUCUGUGGACUGAUGAGACAACAGUUGAACUUUUAGGAAGAUCUGAGACCUGUUACACCUGGUAUAAAACUAACACAUUAUUUAAUAGAAAGAUCAUCACACCAACAAUCAUACACGGUGGUGGCAGUGAUGUGGGGAUACUUUGCUCCUUUAGGACGACUUGCUGUAAUUGAUGAAACCAUAAAUUCUGCUCUCUACUAGAAACUCCUGAAUGUCUGGCCAUCAGUUCAUGCCUUGCAGCUCAACCUUACUUGGGUUACACAGCACGUUAUGCAAACAAUAAUAAAAAAAAAAACAUUCACAGUGAUGUAAAUAAAAUUUUUUCAGUUAUCACAAACUCUCGACUGCCAAAGUAGAUUUGAAUAAACUUUCCCCUUAAAAAUGAAAACAUCAUUUAAAAACUGUAUUUUGUAUUUACUAGGGUUGUCUUUGUCCAAUUAUUAUAUUAUAUUAUAUUAUAUUAUAUUAUAUUAUAUUAUAUUAUAUUAUAUUAUAUUAUAUUAUAUUAUAUUAU